rnacentral:rRNA from 1 species
AUGAAAGAUAGGAGCCAUGGCUUGGCACUGGGGGUGAGCUUUCUCCUCCUCCUCAUCGUCGCCGGCAUCGCGCAGAGCGACAGAGAGAAGAACAAGACCACCGUGGUGAGCCAUCUGCCUGGCUUCGAUGGCCCCCUUCCCUUCUCCCUGGAAACAGGCUAUGUGGAAGUGGACGACCGCAAUGGCGUCCGCCUCUUCUACUACUUCGUUCAGUCGGAGGCCAAUCCGGCGGAGGAUCCCGUCUUGCUCUGGCUCACCGGCGGCCCGGGGUGCUCCGCCUUCUCCGGCCUUGUCUACGAAAUCGGUCCUCUCAGCUUUCAGCCUGAUUCCUACACCGGUGGUGUGCCGGAGCUGGUGUACAGACCGGAUUCUUGGACCAAGGUUGCCAAUGUAAUCUUUCUGGAUUCCCCUGUUGGAGCUGGCUUUUCAUACUCUGCAACAGACCAAGGGUACAAGUCCUGCGACACCAAAGCCGUUGACCAAAUUGCCAUCUUCCUUACCAAGUGGUAUGAGGAGCAUCCACAGUUCUUAUCGAAUCCACUUUUCAUUGCCGGAGAUUCGUAUUCUGGUUUAAUUGCGCCACCGCUGACCUUUCAAAUUGCUAAGGGUAUAGAAAUGGGUGACAAGCCACUGCUUAAUCUGAAGGGUUAUAUCAUAGGCAACCCAUUAACGGAUCGCAAGUUCGAUUUGCCAGCCAGAGUCCCAUAUGCCCAUAGGAUGGGUCUCAUAUCUGAUGAGCAAUAUGAGACAUACAGGGAAAGUUGUGGUGCGGACACCAGUAUGAACCGAAACAUACAAUGCAAGAAUUGCCAUGAUGCGAUAGAUAAGUGUUUGAAGGGCAUAAACAUACAUCACAUCCUAGAACCCGAAUGCUCUUCUGAAUACAAUGGAAAUUCAGAUAGUGGCAGGACGCUGUUUGACUAUGGUGGUGCAGAGCUUGGCUUGUCUGAUAUUUCUUCAGAGUGCAGAGAGAAAGGAUAUAGCAUGUCCGGCAUCUGGGCAAACAACAGGUCAGUGAGAGAGGCUCUGGGUGUUCACAAGGGAACGGUUCCUUUGUGGCUAAGGUGCAACCACGGCACGCCAUACACCACCGACAUCAGGAGCAUCGUGGAGUAUCACCGGAGCGUGACCAGCAGAGGCUACCGGAGCCUGAUCUACAGCGGUGACCACGACAUGACCGUGCCUUUCAUCAGCACCCAGGCGUGGAUCCGCUCCCUCGGCUUCGCCGUCGUCGAUGAGUGGAGGCCCUGGUAUGCCACCGGCCAAGUUGCUGGGUUUACAACGUUGUACGCUAAUAACCUCACUUUUGCGACAGUCAAGGGUGGUGGUCACACUGCUCCAGAGUACAUGCCCAAGGAAUGCUUGGCCAUGGUCGAUAGAUGGCUCUCCGGCCGUCCUGUCUAA